rnacentral:rRNA from 1 species
CCCUAUGGGGUGCAGCAGGCGCGAAACCUUUACAAUGCACGCAAGUGUGAUAAGGGAACCCUAAGUGCUCAUGUUUAACAUGGGCUUUUGCCAAGAGUAAAUAUCUUGGCGAAUAAGUGGUGGGAAAGACUGGUGCCAGCAGCCGCGGUAACACCAGCGCCACGAGUAGGGACCACUACUAUUGGGCCUAAAGCGUCCGUAGCCGGUUGAAUAAAUUUCUUGUGAAAUUGUUGGGCUUAACCUAACAACGUGCAGGAAAAACUGUUCAGCUUGGAACCGGGAGAAGUCAGGAGUAUGCUGGGGGGAGCGGUAAAAUGUUAUAAUCCCCGGUAGACUACCAGUGGCGAAGGCGCCUGACUAGAACGGAUUCGACGGUGAGGGACGAAAGCCAGGGGAGCGAAGCGGAUUAGAUACCCGUGUAGUCCUGGCCGUAAACGCUGCGAGCUAGGUGUUGCAUAUUCUACAUGAAUGUGCAGUAUCGAAGCGAAGGUGAUAAGCUCGCCGCCUGGGAAGUAUGGUCGCAAGGCUGAAACUUAAAGGAAUUGGCGGGGGAGCACUACAAGGGGUGCGGCGUGCGGUUUAAUCUAAUUCAACACAGAGAAUCUCACCAGAAGCGACGGCAGGAUGAAAGUCAGCUAACGGUCUUACUUGACGAGCCGAGAAGGUGGUGCAUGGCC